UGCAAGUCGUACGAGAAAGUAUCCUUCGGGGUGCGAGUAAAGUGGCGAACUGGUGAGUAACACGUGAGCAACCUGCCUUUAAGUUGGGGAUAACCCUGAGAAAUCGGGGCUAAUACCGAAUGUGGUCCGGAGAUCGCAUGGUCACCGGAUUAAAGAUUGCCUCUCCAUGGAAGCAAUCGCUUAGAGAUGGGCUCGCGGCCUAUUAGCUUGUUGGCGGGGUAACGGCCCACCAAGGCAGCGAUGGGUAGCCGGCCUGAGAGGGUGUACGGCCACAUUGGGACUGAGAUACGGCCCAAACUCCUACGGGAGGCAGCAGUAGGGAAUAUUGCGCAAUGGGCGGAAGCCUGACGCAGCAACGCCGCGUGAGCGAUGAAGGCCUUCGGGUCGUAAAGCUCUGUCAGGUGGGAAGAAUCCUUCAUGGGUGAAUAAUUCAUGAAGUUGACAGUACCACCAGAGGAAGCUCCGGCUAACUCCGUGCCAGCAGCCGCGGUAAUACGGAGGGGGCGAACGUUGUUCGGAAUUACUGGGCGUAGAGGGCGCGUAGGCGGUCGGGUAAGUCAGGUGUGAAAUGUUACCGCUCAACGGUAAACCUGCAUUUGAUACUGCUCGACUUGAGGUCAGGAGAGGAGAGCGGAAUUCCCAGUGUAGCGGUGGAAUGCGUAGAUAUUGGGAAGAACACCAGUGGCGAAGGCGGCUCUCUGGACUGAUUCUGACGCUGAGGCGCGAAAGCUAGGGGAGCAAACAGGAUUAGAUACCCUGGUAGUCCUAGCCGUAAACGAUGGGCACUAGGUGCUGGGAAUAUCGACGUUUUCAGCGCCGAAGCUAACGCAUUAAGUGCCCCGCCUGGGGAGUACGACCGCAAGGUUGAAACUCAAAGGAAUUGACGGGGGCCCGCACAAGCGGUGGAGCAUGUGGUUCAAUUCGAAGCAACGCGAAGAACCUUACCCGGGCUUGACAUGUUGAUGACCGUCCUGGAAACAGGAUUUCCCCUUCGGGGGCAUCUUCACAGGUGUUGCAUGGCUGUCGUCAGCUCGUGUCGUGAGAUGUUGGGUUAAGUCCCGCAACGAGCGCAACCCCUGUCCCUUGUUGCCAGCGGGUAAUGCCGGGGACUCUAGGGAGACUGCCGGUGAUAAAUCGGAGGAAGGCGGGGAUGACGUCAAGUCAUCAUGGCCCUUAUGCCCGGGGCUACACACGUGCUACAAUGGCCGGUACAGCGAGAAGCGAUACCGCGAGGUGGAGCAAAUCUCUUAAAACCGGUCUAAGUUCGGAUUGCAGUCUGCAACUCGACUGCAUGAAGUUGGAAUCGCUAGUAAUCGCGGAUCAGCAAUGCCGCGGUGAAUACGUUCCCGGGCCUUGUACACACCGCCCGUCACGCCAUGGAAGCCGGUGGUACCCGAAGUCGCUGUCCUAACCCUCUUCGGAGGGAGG
rnacentral:rRNA from 1 species